rnacentral:rRNA from 1 species
GAUGAACGCUGGCGGCGUGCCUAAUACAUGCAAGUCGAGCGAACGGACGAGAAGCUUGCUUUUCUGAUGUUAGCGGCGGACGGGUGAGUAACACGUGGAUAACCUACCUAUAAGACUGGGAUAACUUCGGGAAACCGGAGCUAAUACCGGAUAAUAUUUUGAACCGCAUGGUUCAAAAGUGAAAGACGGUCUUGCUGUCACUUAUAGAUGGAUCCGCGCUGCAUUAGCUAGUUGGUAAGGUAACGGCUUACCAAGGCAACGAUGCAUAGCCGACCUGAGAGGGUGAUCGGCCACACUGGAACUGAGACACGGUCCAGACUCCUACGGGAGGCAGCAGUAGGGAAUCUUCCGCAAUGGGCGAAAGCCUGACGGAGCAACGCCGCGUGAGUGAUGAAGGUCUUCGGAUCGUAAAACUCUGUUAUUAGGGAAGAACAUAUGUGUAAGUAACUGUGCACAUCUUGACGGUACCUAAUCAGAAAGCCACGGCUAACUACGUGCCAGCAGCCGCGGUAAUACGUAGGUGGCAAGCGUUAUCCGGAAUUAUUGGGCGCAAAGCGCGCGUAGGCGGUUUUUUAAGUCUGAUGUGAAAGCCCACGGCUCAACCGUGGAGGGUCAUUGGAAACUGGAAAACUUGAGUGCAGAAGAGGAAAGUGGAAUUCCAUGUGUAGCGGUGAAAUGCGCAGAGAUGUGGAGGAACACCAGUGGCGAAGGCGACUUUCUGGUCUGUAACUGACGCUGAUGUGCGAAAGCGUGGGGAUCAAACAGGAUUAGAUACCCUGGUAGUCCACGCCGUAAACGAUGAGUGCUAAGUGUUAGGGGGUUUCCGCCCCUUAGUGCUGCAGCUAACGCAUUAAGCACUCCGCCUGGGGAGUACGACCGCAAGGUUGAAACUCAAAGGAAUUGACGGGGGCCCGCACAAGCGGUGGAGCAUGUGGUUUAAUUCGAAGCAACGCGAAGAACCUUACCAAAUCUUGACAUCCUUUGACAACUCUAGAGAUAGAGCCUUCCCCUUCGGGGGACAAAGUGACAGGUGGUGCAUGGUUGUCGUCAGCUCGUGUCGUGAGAUGUUGGGUUAAGUCCCGCAACGAGCGCAACCCUUAAGCUUAGUUGCCAUCAUUAAGUUGGGCACUCUAAGUUGACUGCCGGUGACAAACCGGAGGAAGGUGGGGAUGACGUCAAAUCAUCAUGCCCCUUAUGAUUUGGGCUACACACGUGCUACAAUGGACAAUACAAAGGGCAGCGAAACCGCGAGGUCAAGCAAAUCCCAUAAAGUUGUUCUCAGUUCGGAUUGUAGUCUGCAACUCGACUACAUGAAGCUGGAAUCGCUAGUAAUCGUAGAUCAGCAUGCUACGGUGAAUACGUUCCCGGGUCU